rnacentral:rRNA from 2 species
UUUAACUGAAGAGUUUGAUCAUGGCUCAGAUUGAACGCUGGCGGCAGGCUUAACACAUGCAAGUCGAGCGGGGGAAGGUAGCUUGCUACUGGACCUAGCGGCGGACGGGUGAGUAA